UGAUUAAUUUACAGUUGUAAUCAAUUUCAGAGUUUCGUAGGUUUAUUACAUUCAAAAUUCAAUAAUUAUAAAAUUUUAAAUGAUAGAAUUGUAUAAAUAGAAAUACAUACAGACUACAUAAAAUUCUGUAAAAUAAAGUGCCAGCAUUCGCGGUUAUACUUUAAACUUUCUAGAAUAAAAUUAUACGUUUAUUGAAUAAUUCUCUUUCUUCUUGUUAAAUUAGUGGUGAAAUGCAAUUUAAUACAGUUAAAUUAUCACAAUAUAAAAAUAUAAUUAUAAACUAGGAUUAGAUACCCUAUUAUAAAUAUUAUAUAAAAACGUAAGGAGUAAAGAUUAAUUUCUUCAAAAUUGAAACUGUAUGGCAAUUUUAAAUCCAAUUAGAGAAAUAUGUUUAUUAAACCGAUGAUGCACGAUUAUCUUACUUAAAUUUUAAAUUUCUUACACCACCGUCUGAAGAAUAAUUUUAAUAAAUUAUUCUAUAACCUUGUUGGUUAUAAGUCAGGUCUAGGCACGGACAAUAUUUAAGAUUAAAUGUAUUUUAUAAUAAAAAUUACAGAUUAAAUAUGAAAUUAUUAAUGAAGGAAAAUUUAAAAGUAAUAUAUUUAAUAAUAUAUAUAUGAAUUGGCUCUUUAUUAUGUACAAAUAGCCCGUCGUCCCUAAAUUAGGAUAAGUCGAAACAUAGUUAGCGUACCGGAAGGUGCUCUAAGA
rnacentral:ncRNA from 1 species